AGAUUUCCUGAUUAUACAUUACAUGAGAAGACUCUACCACUGUGGGGGGCAUCAUCCCCUAGGCCCAGAUCCUAGUCUGUAGGACAGUGGAGAGAGAGAGCUGAGCACAAGCGUGAACACAUUAAUUCAUUGUUCUCCACUCUGGACUGCAGAUGUGAUGUGACUGAGUUCCUGCCGUGACUUCUCAGUGCCGGAUGUGACCUGAACUUUGAGCCAAAUAAAGCCUUUCUCCCUUAAACUGCUUCUUCCCAUUAUUUUAUCACAGCAAUGGGAAGAGAACUAAGAUACCUGGGCUCUGGGGAUCAAACUUCAGCCCUCUUCACUGACUGAGCUAUCCUCACAGGCCCCAGGAAGAUUUCUGUGAAUGGCUAUCAGAAGUUAGCUCAGCCUAGAAGUAAACUCAGGCUGAGGGUUUUCUCUGUGAGCCCUUCACCACCUGCACCCCAUGUCCUGUCCACCACACCCAUUCUGCCCUGCUGAGGCUGUUCCUCAGAGGAAGAAGGCAAGAAGGAACUAAAACAUUCCUGGUUCUCGGUCACCCACAGAUGGACACGCUCAGCCCUGGCCAGUUCCUUCCCCUUCCUGGUUCCUCCUCUCACUAGAAGAGUCUCUUUGUUGAGUUGCACUUUCUCCAGCCACGCCUUCCUCUGUUCUGGGACUGUCACAGACACAGAAUCAACAGUGUGCUGCACAUUAAGGGGUACGUGUUGUUCACUUUACUCACGGGAUGGGAGAGAAAUCCUGGUAAAAGCAGCUCAGAGGAGGAAGGGCCUGUCCUGGCUCACAUCGCAGGGAGCAGCCCAUCACCACAGGGAAGUCGUGCCGCAGGACGGUGAGGCGGCUGAUGGAUGCUAAUACCCAGCUUGCUUUCUCCUUGUUACACAGUCCAGGACCCAAAGACAAGGAAUGAUCCUCUCUCAGUGAGGUUAAUCUAGAAACGUCACCAAGAACACACCAGAGAUCCGUCUCCUAGCUUCUCUUUGGCGUAUGAGGAUCAUCAGCAUGCCUGUUUAAGCCUUGGAACUGAUGCAAGUUAAGUGAGUGUCACUUAAAAAUGAGCACUGGGAUACAGCAGCAGUCCACAUAGCCAAGAUCUCUAUCAACUACCAGGAGCAUAGCAUAAACCUUAUGGAAAUGCUGGGCAAAGUCACAACCGCACGACAGAAGAAAAGGUGUAAAGUUUCAUCAAAAGAUGGUGCACUUUUAAAAUGUGAA